GUGCUCGCUUCGGCAGCACACAUACUAAAAAUGGAACGAUACAGAGAAGAUUAGCAUGGCCCCUGCACAAGGUUGACACCAGAGGUAGGUUUCAGCAGGUUCU